rnacentral:rRNA from 1 species
AUUGAACGCUGGCGGCAGGCCUAACACAUGCAAGUCGAACGAGUGGCGGACGGGUGAGUAAUGUCUGGGAACCUGCCUGAUGGAGGGGGAUAACUACUGGAAACGGUAGCUAAUACCGCAUACCAUCAGAUGUGCCCAGAUGUGAUUAGCUAGUUGGUGGGGUGACGGGUCACCAAGGCGACGAUCCCUAGCUGGUCUGAGAGGAUGACCAGCCGCACUGUAACUGAGAGACGGUGCAGACUCCUACGGGAGGCAGCAGUGGGGAAUAGUGGACAAUUGGCGAAAGCCUGAUGCAGCCAUGCCGCGUGUCGGAAGAAGGCCUUCGGGUUGUAAAGUACUUUCCGCGGGGAGGCGUUACCCGCAGAAGAAGCACCGGCUAACUCCGUGCCAGCAGCCGCGGUAAUAC